CAGGGAAGGAGGGGGGUUAGGGGCGUCGACCAUCCGGUGUGACAAACUUCAAGGCCCACAUUGUCUCUUUCUUCUGUCGUUCGUGAUGGGUAGCAACGCAGAAUUUUUCUCUCUGGAGGUCCUCGUGUUCCUGGGGAGCUCAGAGAACAAAGUUGUCUUAUCACAGCUGGGAGAUAGCCGUAAGCAAGAGUCGUAGAACUAGCAGAUCAAGCAUUUUGUAAAAGCGAGAGGUGCUUAAUCACCCAGUUACAUGCAGGCUAGAAUAUAUUCACAGAGACUGGUGAGUCAGGGUCAUAGUUACAAUAUUGCUUCCUUUCCCUAAGAUGGCUUGCCUCGUGUUAACUUAAGAUCCAGCGGUUACAUUGAUGCAAGGCCCUACUGUUCUCUUGGUUGAUAAAAUUAUUUGCUAUAGGAGAUGAUUGUUUAGCAACUUAGGAGAAGCUUUAGAAAAUUCUCGCUGAAUGUCCAGAGAGCUUUGACCCUUGGAAAUCUGAUUGGUCACCACUGUCAGCGACAAUAUUUGCCUCCUUUCAUCCCCCUGCACAUUUUCUUUCUCAGCUAAUAUGGUAAACAGCACUGAUCUCUACUCAUGAAUGACUGGGCAUAUCAGGCAAGACCCAACCUUCCUGAAAGUCUUUCUUCCUAUUCUAAAAGAAGAAAGAAUUCCCAGGGUUCAUAGAUUUCUGCCUCUUUCCUGGGUACGACUUUAUCUACACAGGUAGAUAAAGCACUAGUGUCCUUUUGGUUAGUGAUAAAUUGCUUUGCUGCUGUGAGAGGCUGCCCUCAACUAUAGUAAAUUCUCCUCCCCUUUCUACCCUAUGUCCCUUGGUCUGGAUCAUGGGGAAAGGGGGACUUCAUAAAAUGAUGCUUGAGACCAUCCUACUUUGGCCACAUCAGGGAAUGAACAGAAUGGGGAGGGAAGUCUCCACCACUGAGGUUUGAUGAAUUUAUAGCUGGGAGAUUACUUAUAUUGUAGGAAAAGUGAAAACUUGAAAUCUGAACUGGGAAAAGAGCAGAGCUUUGCAAGAAUGUGAUAUUCAGGGACAUGUUUUUGCAACCACCUCUUAGUCGCAUAAUCAACCUUCGGCAGAAAGCAGAGAAGAACAAUAGAAAGGAAUCAAUGGAAAAAUCCCAGGGGAUGAUGGGCAAGGGAAAAUCUCAAUAAAAGCAACAAAGAGUGCCUGUACGGGGUUUUACAAACCUGAGUUUUCCUUUUUGUCUUGGGAGAAAGGGAUUAUAAAAUAAAACUGUUAGAGACAAAUUGUAUCAUGAGUGAGGAGGAUAGGAGGGAAGCAGGGAGAGAGAGAAAGAAGGGUUUUUAUUUUUUAAGUUCUGGAAAAAUCUUUAAACAAAAACUCAAAAGUAUUAAAUAAGAGAUAGAUGUUGGAACCACUCGAGUGCACCAUGAACUAUAUUCCUGAAAUCAAAUUAAAAAUGUCCAGAAACAGAAGGAUCCACCAGGUGCCCAGAGAUUAAUUCUGAUUUGGGGGGGUGUGGGCAUCAGGUUUCUCGUUUGUCUGUUUCAGGCCACUGCUAAGGCCUGUACAAUUCUGGUGCAGGACAUUCUCUAGCUAGUUGCUGUGACAGCUUGUGAAGUGCCACCACCAAGCUCUGCAGGGACUUCAACCAGAGCCUCCCAGAAGUUCCCCUCUGAUUUGGGUGGGGGGUUGUGAGGCUGGCCGGCUGCGGCACCUAGGCAUCGCAUCCUCAGUGUCGUGUCUCUUCCACCUUCCCUUCCACAGUGCCUGGCUUCCUUCCAUGGCAGCUCCGAGGGGAUACAUAUGAUGUUUUACAAAAGUCUUCACACUUCAGGAGUGGUCUUCAAGGUCCAUAUGGGACUAUUUAAUCACUGAACAAAGCUGCCAGACUCUCCUUCGGGGGAACGACCCUAUUCCGUGGCACACAGUCUUGAUGAAACUGUCAAUCAGGGAGGGGGCGAGAUCUGAGACCCAAGCUUAGCCAAUCAGAUUCUUCUGGGGAUCUGAAUCACGAGUGGAAUUAACAUCAGGUCAGAGAAAAAAUGCACGUCCAGUGAGGCACCGCUAAUUCCUGCUUCUUGGAGUAGCAUACUGAGAAGGUGUAGCCUUUGGAGUAUGGGCUGUGGGGCCAGAUUGUUUGGGUUAGAAACACACUUUCUAUAUAAGACCUGAAGCAAGCUAGUUAACCUCAUGCCUCGGUUUCCUCAGAUUGUGAAAGGGGAUAAUAGUACUUCUCUCAUAGGGUUGUUGUUCACAUCGCAUAAAUCAGUGCAUGGGUCUCAGCAGGAACACUUGUGAGGACACAGGAACCACUCUGAGUAUUUGAAGCAGAAAAGGAAUUUGAUGCAUGGAUUAGGAACAUAAAAAUCAGUGAAAGGCUGGAGAAGCAGGCUCCAGGCUGCAGGACUGGCUUCUGGAACACACUUCCAAACUGGCCUGCCAGGGGCACUGUCUCUUCUGCCACCAUCAGGAAAGUGGACCAGUAGUGGACCAUCACAGGGACUUCAAGAACACAGUGCCACAGCUGUGACCCAGGGAGCAGGAAGGCACUUGGCUGCUCCUGUGACCACCUCUCGUCACUCAAGAAGCUGAGGACUGGACAGUGGACGGUACUCUAUCCAAGAGCAUCAAGAUCACCAAGGUUCAAUUUUUAAGGUUGAAACGUUGGCUGCUAGUAAAAGUGCUAAUAUUCAUAAGCAAGCGAUGCAACUUGUAACUGAAGGAUCUAAAUCUGAGGACCCUGUCAGCUCUAUAAUUUCAUAAUUCCCAAGUCACAUGCAAAAAUCAGUUUAAUUAACUUGUAAUUAUGCUUCUUAUCUUCUGCAUUGGCAAAGAGGGAGAGGAUAGUCAUUCAUGGGCCCUCCAGCAGCACAGAAGCAUUUAUUACUUGCAUCUUCCUAACUUCCUUGAAAUGUAGUUUUAAUACCAUAAUUCACUUUUGUAAUAGUGGCCUGGUGACUUGGGCAGUGCAAUCACAUAUGCUGUUGAGACUUCGACGGAGCCAAAGGAGAGGCAUCUGGACUGCAGCAACAUGAGUCUGACCGGGAGGAGAGAAGGAGGAUGAGGAAGCUAAUCCUGAUAGAGAUCCCACAGUCAGGUGUCCGCUGUGGGAGAGAGUAGGGGAACUCACCUGCC
ensembl:lncRNA